UGCGCACCCAAACCUCAGAGCCGCCGUGCACUAUGGCCGUGGCUCCAAGCGCCGUGCGCACAGCAGCGGGGGCGUCGUCACCUCCGGGGGGCUGCGGGUGCCCCUGGGAGUGAAUGUGGAGGCCGCACACAU
ensembl:snoRNA